UCCAGGCCCGUUGAUCUCCUGUAACCCUGCACCUAAUCAACAUCAAGGAGUAAUUUACAUUCGCUCACUAACCCAUCAAUACAUCUUUGCAACGGGGAAGAAGUCAAUGGAAAAAUCUGCAAAUUCCACACAGUUGGCAACAGAUGUCAGGGUCUAGCAAAGGUCCCUGAAACCAUGUACAGGAGAAAGAAAACUUAAUGGAAUCCUCAGAGAGCCAAGGAGCAAAAAAAAAAGUGGAUGGAUAAAAAGCUCCCGUUUGCAUAUGACAUCAGAGGAUGGAGAUAUCAAUCCACAUCAGCUGAGAAGGAACCUUCACAGCUAGCUUUUUCUUAAACUGUCCAUUUGGUAAGCAAUCUCAAAUAUACAGUAGUCUAACAUACAGGUUUUGAAAAUGAGGAAAGUAUUGCUAUCAGCAUCAUACGAAAGGCUGACUAUUGGUGUUUUACCCACUAGACAUUUUCCAGAUCAGACAAGGAUAUGCUACCAAUAUGAUUGGGUGAAGAAGAUGAGAAAUGCUCCCUUCCCUUUCAUUUGUGAUGGUGCAGAGUUCGAAGGUCUGAAGCAAUGUGGAGGGGGGGGCAGGAUCAAAGAAUUGAAUAACAUCCUUUAUAUACAACACAUUCCAGUGAUCUGUCUUGUAAUUAGUCAGAACCGUCAAACUGUCAUCAAAGCUAAAUACGGUAAGUAAAGCAGCUUUUUUUCAGUGAUAGAAACAGGCAUUACUAGGAACCCGAACACAAGAAAUCCACCUGGUUCUCAAUUCACAGCUUAAUUUGUUUUCAAGUUAAAUGUUCUAUUGGAAUGCAUUCAGGUUUUUGAAACUGCAUUGCCGGAAGGCUCUCCACCCUAAACAAUGUAGACACAAUCUUAUCACUCGUCUACAUGGUCACUAUUCAGGAAGCCCAAAACAUAUACUUCAUCAGACAGAAGAGUGAAUGAAGCCAUUACAGUAUCGGCUGAAAGAACAGGAAAUAAAGGGAGUUCACUGCUUCUGGAAUCACCACUGCUCAAUUUUUAAUGACCGCGCUAGCAAGCAAAUACACACAAAAAAGACGCAAUGGGUUAACAAUUAAAUAGCAGUUGCUUCUUCAUGUUACUUUGGGUUUUUCUGGUGUAAAAUUUCCAGAUGACUGUAAAUCCAACAAAUGCAUGCAUAUGGAGCUUUCACAACAUUAUUACCAAGAGUACUUGAUUUAUUGUCAGUCAUUAACAACACUGAGCUUUCUCAGUAAGUGAACGGAGCAGCCAGAUGAGGGAGAGCAGGAGGGGCUUAGGCCAAGGUCAAGGAUAAAGAGGCAGGAAAACAGCCAGAAUACUGGAGGAACUCAGCAGGUCAGACAGCAACGUUUCAGACCAAGACCCUUCUUCAGGAAAUGAUGCCGAGUUUGAGCAAGAGAAAAAGGCCCAGGAAGACCAGACAGAGGCGAAAAAGAAACUGGAAGAAGUGGGAAAAUGACAUCAAGGCCAAAUGCAAGUUACUUUAAAGGUUAUUUUUACACCACUUUGAUGAGUGUGGAUUUCAUUCAAUAACUCGUUCUCAAUUUUAAUUUUCUAUUUCUCAAGGUGAAUAGGAAGAAUCUCAUUGAAACGUAUCAGCUGCUGGAUACAGUGGACAUGAAGAGGAUCUUUCCAUUAGAAGGACAGCCUAGGGUCCAAUGCAAAGCAUCAGAAUAAAGGGAUGACCCUUUAAACUGAGAUGGAAAGGAAUUUAUUCAGCCAGGACUGGUGAAUCUGUGCCCACAAUUAUUGAAUAGAUUAAUUAACUAUGACAAAUAGGAUCUUGAUGCAACACAUAUCAAAGUUGCUGGUGAACGCAGCAGGCCAGGCAGCAUCUCUAGGAAGAGGUACAGCCGACGUUUCGGGUCGAGACCCUUCGUCAGGACUAACUGAAGGAAGACCGCCAGAGGAAGCCGGAAGCGGUGUGGUGCAGCAUCCAUGCUGGAGUUGGCACUGUCCCGAGCGUUCGUUCGGCAGAAGACAACCUGUAAUGUAUUCGACUGCAGACUGCUGCAACAUUCAUGCGCUCAGGGAAGUGAACCAUGUAUUUUUUUGUGUGACUGUAUUUUACUGCUCUCUAUAUGUGCUAUAUGAGUCUUGUGUUGUGUGUGACUGUGGUACUGUGUUUUGCACCUUGCCCCCACUGUAAUACUGUUUUGUUUAGAUGUAUUCAUGGGUAUUCAUAUAUGGUUGAACUUGAACUACCUGUUGUGCUAUUUCCAGGUUUACUGUACUUUUUCUCUGAAGAUACUCCAACAUUUGCUCAAUUCCUCUGCCAGAAUAAGUAUUCCCUACUUCCCAGAAUAAGUUCUCUCUGCAUCCGUAACAGACCUACCUUAGUUCUGAUAAUCUCCUUUGCCUGUACGUAUCAAAAUCCUUACAAACUGUUGAGCAACACACAUUUCCAGCAUCUGAAGAAUUUCUUUUACGUUUUACAGACAGUUCUUCUGUUCCUUGGUAGCUUGUUUUUCCUCUCUUUAAUAUUUCUUGGUUUACCUUUUGGAAUUCUCAAGUAUGCCGAAAUCUCAUACCCUACUGUCCAUUUUAUGACCUUCCUCCUUGGAUUUCUCAUUAUUACUAACUUUUCUUCAGACAAGGUCGAACCACUUUUCUUGGAUUUCUGUGCCUUAAGAGAUAUUUCCUGAAAAUAAUGCAUCAAUUCUUGAAAAAUUAGUUAUUGCUCAUUUUACUACCAUAUCUUUUAAUAUAAAUUCCCAGUUCACCAGCAUCAGCCUUUACUUUGUGCUGAUUGAAUUUAAUUGUUUUCAAAUCUUCAUAUAUCAUGUUAUAAUCACUCUCCUCUGAAGGCCCCUUAGCAACCAGAUUAUUAAUUCUUUCUCACUACACAAUGCCAGAUAUAAAAUAGCUGCUUAUUCCAUGUGUUUCAAUUUACCGAUCUAAAAAAAUCCUCAAAUUCCAUUUCCACAUUUCUAUUAUCAUUUUGGUUUGCCAAAUCUCGAGUAAAUUAAUGUUCUACUAAAUGCAUUUUCUGUCUGCUUCAAGCAAAGCCUACUGAAAUGGAACAGCUUCUUCCUUCUCCACUACUAAACUGAACUGAAACUCAGUUCUCCCACUGCAAUCUCUGAGCCCCAUAUUCAUCUCGCUGAUCUUUGUGAUGCCGAUUGUUGAUUUGAUUUGGAUCCCAGAUGCUCUUACUCUCAGUCAACCAUUCCAACUCCCAUUUGGACUUGGCCAUUCUCCUCCUUUUUUACACUCCUCCAGUCCUAAAACGUCCUUAGCUCUGGCACCAGACAAGUAUUGCAACCUUUUGAGACUUGCAUUCACAACUGCAGAGAACAGUAUGAAUUUUCCUGAUGAUCCUGUCAUCUAUUACCAAUACCCAACUUGAAGAGCUGAACGAUAAGAUGACUAUCACAGAUAUAGACAAAGAAUAACAUAACAUAGGCAAUCAUGCAUACAGGAAGGUCGUUUGGGAAGAAAUUAGGGAACAAAGUAAAAAAAAAAUUGUUCUGACAUGCAAGCUGAAAUCCUGCAACGCAGAGCUUAUUUCAACAUAUUACUUAUUCACUUUCUGGACCUAAUGCAAACUUUUAAUUCUUGCUAAACGACUCAUUACCCCAAUUAAAAUAAAAAUAAAGGAAGACAUUCACAACACACUGGAGGAACUCAGCAGGUCGGGCAGCAUCCGUGGAAACGAUCGGUCGACGUUUCGGGCCGGAACCCUUCAUCAGGACUGAAGAGGAAGGGGGCAGAGGCCCUAUAAAGAGGGUGGGGGGAGGAUGGGAAGGAGAAGGCUGGUAGUUCCAGGUGAAAAACCAGUAAGGGGAAAGAUAAAGGGGUGGGAGAGGGGAAGCAGGGAGGGGAUAGGCAGGAAAGGUGAAGGAGGAAUAGGGAAAACACAAUGGAGAGUAGAAGGAGGUGGAACCAUGAGAAAGGUAGUAGGCAGCUGGGGGAGGGGGCAGAGUGAAAUAGGGAUAAAGGAAGGGAGGGGGAGAGAAUUACCGGAAGUUGGUGAAUUCUAUGUUCAUACCAAGGGGCUGGAGACUACCUAGACGGUAUAUGAGGUGUUGCUCCUCCAACCUGAGUUUAGCCUCAUCAUGGCAGUAGAGGAGGCCAUGUAUGGACAUAUCUGAAUGGGAAUGGGAAGCAGAGUUGAAGUGGGUGGCUACUGGAGGGGAAGACAUUUCUUUUUAUACCAUUUUAAGCCAAGUAAUGUGUUGUUCCUCUUCGUGCCUUGUGUGGCAUCAGGUGGCAACCUUGCAGCUUCUGUAGCAUUUGUCUAUUUUUUUUAACGAAGGCAAAUUGCUAGCUUGAUGCUCAACCUAGCACGGAUAACUGGCCAGAUUCGAACCCAGGACUGCUCACCUCGAAGCCCAGUGCAGAUGCUACUUCACUACUAGCAAGUUAUCCAAGAGCAGAAUAUGUGGGAGGUGAUCACAAAUCAUCUUUAGUGGAUGCUUAAAGUGGACAUCUCCUCUGCAUUGGAGAGGUCAAACACGAUCUCGAUUGGGAUGUGAGUGUCGCCAGUGAAGCCAGCAUUUACUGCCUAUCCCUAGUUGCUGUUGACAAGGUGGUGAUGAGCUGCAGUCUUUCAAGGUGUAGGUACACCUACAGUUCUGUUGGGGGGGGGGGGGGAGAUGGGAGAACUCCAUGAGUUUGACCCAGUGACAAUGAAGGAACAGAGAUAUGUUUCCAAGUCAGGAUGGUGAGUGACUUGGAGGGGGAUUUCCAAGUGGUGCUGUUCCCAGGUAUCUGCUGUUCUUGUCCUUCUAGAUGGAUGUGGUUGUGGGUCUGGAAGGUGCUGCCUUAGGAACUUUGGUGUGCUGUUGCAGUGUAUCUUGUAGAUAGUACACACUGCUGCAACUGUUCAUCGAUGGUGGAGGGAUUGGAUGCUUGUGGAAGGGGUACCAAUCAAGUGGGUUGCCUUGUUGAUGGUCUCAAGUUUCUUGAGUGUUCAUGGAACUGCAGUCAUCCAGGUGAGUGGAGAGUAUUCCAUUACACUCCUGACCUGAGCCUUGUAGGUGGUGGACAGGCUUUGGGGAGUCAGGACAUGAGUUAAAUGCCGCAGGAUUCCUUGCCUUUGACCUGCUCUGGUAGCCACAGUGUUUAUAUGACUAGACCAGUUCAGUUUCCUGUCAAUGGUAAACCCCAGAUGUUGAUAGGACUCUUCAUGCCAUGUUCUUGACAUUUAUUGCUUAUUUAUUAUUAUUUCCUUCUUUGUAUUUGCACGUUUUGUUGUCUUCUGGUGUGGUCUUUCAUUAAUUCUGCUCAAUAGAUCAUUCUAUAGAUCUAUUGAGUAUGCUUACAAGAAAAUGAACCUUAGGAUUGCAUAUGGUGACAUAACAAAUUUAUUCAGUACUUUGGACUGUAAGACCUCAGAGAAAGGCGGCUUUCUGCACUCAAUAUAAACCAACAUUCCAAUGGAGUAUGGCACUACCAUGUGCAGGUAUUAACAUUUUUGAUAAGCAGAUCAACAUGGCUGUUUGUUCACGCAAAGAUAAAAAGAAUCAUAAGUCAAUUUUACAAAGAGCAAGAACUGUCCUUGUUGACAUCCAUCUCUCAAGCAACAUUCUUUAGAAGAAUGGGGGGGGGGGGGAAAUCUCAUUGAAACCUAUUGACUAUUGAAAAGCCUAGAUAGAAUGUACAUGGAGACCAUGUUCCCUAUAGUGGGAAAGUCUAUGACCAUAGGGUACAGUCUCGGAAUAGAGGGAUGUCCAGUUGGAACACAGAUGAGAAAGAAUUUCUUUAGCUAGAGGGUGGUGAAUUUGUGGAAUUUUUUGCCACAGCCAAGUCUUUGGGUAUAUUUAAAGCGGGAAUGGAGUUCAGAGGGACAAUAAAUCAGCCACAAUGGAAUGGUGAAGCAGACUAAACAGGCCAAAUUCUGUUCUUAUGUCUUAUGGUCAGCUAUUUCACUAUCAUUUGCACAAAGUAACAUUUGGAUAGGUAUAUGGAUGGUAGGGGUAUAGAGGACAAUAGUCCUGGUGCAGGUUGAUGGGAGUAAGCAGUUUAAAUGGUUGAGCAUGGACUAGAUGGGCCGAAGGGCCUGUUUCUGUACUGUACUUUUCUAUGACUCUUGUAUACAAGCUUUUGCUGUGCAAAAUUUAAGUCACAGUUGCAAAACAGUGUAUAGUUCUGGGCACCUCAUUCUAGAAAGGAUAGAGGCCAUAAAAAGGAGAAGAGCAGGUUCUGUGGAUUGAAAUUGGAGUCGGGAUGGCUCAAUUUUGGGAAAGUUCAAAAACUGCAGUCAUUAGAGGAGGGGUCUGUCUGGUGGUUGGGAGGUUCCUUGAAUUUCACGGACAACAACUGGACCACGUAAAUCAGAGGUUCCCAACCUAGGACUCCUUGCAGAAUGGUAUUGGGCCAUGGCAUAAAAAAACGUUGGGAACCCACGAUUUAAAGGUUUGAGCCUAUUUGGCUGACAAUUGCCAGAGGUACAAACUCAGGACUAAUACUAAAGACAUAUAAUUAAGUAAAAGGUAUAUUUCACACAGGAUUAUAAAUAUUGAAGCAACGUUAACCAAACUGAUAGAAUUGAUAUCCGAUGGCCUUGCUCAUUGAUUUAGCUCAACGUGCAUAUUGCUCCACAGAAAAAAUUUAUACAGAAAAACAAGGGAUUCUGUAGGUGCUGGAAAUCCAGAGCAAAACACACAAAAUUCUGGAGGAGCUCACGAAGCCAAGCAGCCUCUAUGGGAAUGAAUAAACAGUUGACAUUUUGGACUGAGGCCCUUCACCAGUAUUGGAUACCAGAGAGGAAGAAGCCAUCAUAGGAGGGUGAAGGCGGACAAGCUGAUAGGUGAUAGGUGAAGCCCGGUGAGGGGAAAGGUUGGGGGAAAAGCGAUGAAGUAAGAAGUUGGGAGCUCAUGAGUGGAAGAGGUAAAGGGCUGAAAUGGAGGAAUCUGAUCGAGAAGAGAGGACCAUGGGAGAAAAAGAAAAUGGAGGGCACCAAAGGGAGGUGAGGAUAAGAGAAAGGGUAAGAGUAGAAUGAGAAUGGGAAAUGGAAGAGAGAAAGGGAGGGACAGAAAUUAUUGGAAGUUAGGGAAAUCGAUAUUCAUGCCAUCAGUUUGGAGGCUGCCCAUAAGGAAUACAAGGUGCUGCUUUUCCAACCUGAGAGUGGCCUCAUUGUGACCAUAGAGAAGGCCACGUCGCAAUUGGAAUGGGAAGUCAAAAUGAAAUAGACGACCACUGGAAAAUCCUGUCUUUUGUGACGAAAGGUGCUCAAUGAAGCAGUCCCCCCCAAUCUACAUUGGCUUCUUCCCGCUUACUUUCCAAUCCAGAUGAAGUCUAAAAUGUCAAAAGUUUAUACAAGGCAGUUUUUGAUUCUGCAGUGCUUUGCAAUUUGGAUCAUCACAGAAAAACACACUGGAUGGUAGGAACAUUCUCCCCUUCGGAGAGAACACAUGCUUGGAAGUGAUCUAUGGAAGAAUUCCUUUUCCAUCCGGAGAGCAGUUGGAAUUUGGAAUGCAUUGCCUGAGUGGACGGUGGAGGCAGAUACUCUUACAAUGUUUAAAUACAUGAAUGAACACUGGAUCAGCAAGGUACACAAAGCCAUGGUCACUGAGAUAUAGAUGGGUACUUGGUCAACACAGACAUGGUAGGAACAAACAUUAUUGGGGUCAAGGUUGGCUAUUUUGUAGUGUUGUUAAGAAUUAUACAGCAGGAGUGUCAGGUGGGGGUGGUGUCCUAUGAACUGUACAAGCCAUUGAAGUAUCUAGAAAACAGCUACUCUACAACAUAUGCACCGUGGUAACAAGAUCCCAAUUAACCUGAAGCAUAAGAAAAUGUUGAGAACAUCGCCCACUACAUUAUGAUUUAACUUUAUCUGAAGCAGAACAAGUUACAGCUGCUUUGCAUAAUAUUUCCAUAAGAGAUUAUUUUCUUACAAUGAAUAACCAGCUUCAACACUGCUGGAGACAAAUUUGCAAAAGGAUGCUAGUUUUCAUCAGCAAAAUUAGGACCUUCUGAAAAGUGUGAACAUAUCAAUAUAUACGUGAAUAAGAGUUGACCACUCUGCAGAAACCUCAUCUACACCUGAUCACAACAUACUUCUGGUCUGUAUCACAACACAAGAUCGAUAGGUAUCAGGAUGCCACAGUUCUGCUCUCUUCUAUGCUACACAACACCAUUCCUGCCUCCCACUACCACCGCCUCCAGUAACAACCACUUCUUAUUCGUGUCUUUGUUAUGUCUUCCAACAGUAUUCAAUGCCAGCAUAAUAAAUUUACGAAGAUUCUCAUCCUCAUUUUCACAUUACUCAAUAGAAUCAAUCCUCACUGGAAUGUCUUCCAAGUCUUACAACCCCUGUAGUUCCAACAAGCCCAGCUUCUUACGCAACCGAUUUUUCAACAGUCCAUUAUUGACACGUAACACAGGAGACAGAACCUUUGUAAAUUAUAAAUCAGUCACUUUCUGCUUUAAUGUUUAUGCAUACCUGAGGGGGGGGGGGAAUGUCAACUCAGACCAUGUGAGGCCUGCGCCGGGCAUUUUCAUGCCUUACAAGGUGCAGAUUGGAAGUCUGUGUGGGGCGCCACUCCUCACACAGACACAAGAGCAAUGUAUGGUUAAGUGCCUUGCUCAAGGACACAAACACACUGCCAAAGCUGAGGCUCGAACUAGCGACCUUCAGGUCACUAGACGAACACCUUAACCACUUGGUCACGUGCCCAACACAAACCUUUGACACUUCGACAUCCCUUUAAAAAUGUAGUGGAUUCUGGUUAAUUGGCCAGUGGUUAAUCAAGGCAGCCACUUACUUGGGAUAACUCUUAAGGAACAAAAACUAAUUGAGAAAAUAGCCAUGAUUCCCUUCAUUUAUUUGGGACACUAUGUCACUUAAAUGGAACAGGAAAUUGUUGUCAAACAGUUUCUACCUAGCGUCAGUCACAUGUGGCCAUUAGACACUACAACAUGCUUAAAGCGAAUAGUUUUUAAAUAGCAUCUAUUGCAUGUGUUUGUGUCCAAAAAGCAGUGAUUUUGUCACUCAAUAGUUGGUGAGAAUUAAGCAGCAAGACAAUUCAGAACCGUUUUACUGACUACAGUUUCAAACAUUUAGGCUUGGAGAUCCCAGAAAUGGCUGGGAGUGAAAAUGAAACUAUUUCACUACUUCAAGUUAGGAAUAAUGAAGAAUUUGAAGGUAUCGACAAUCAUCUUGAAUGUUGCAAUGAAAAUGAAGAUUUGGAGGAUGCCAUCAUUGAAAACAAUGUAUGACGGCAAACCAUUAUCUGCACCAGGUGUCUGCACUGAUUUUGUUCAUUUACAGUCAAUCAAAAGAAUGCGCCGGUGUACACUGGAUGAAUUCCUUCCUUGAUAACUAUUGGGAACAAAUACAGUUUUAUAGUACUGUGGUAUUUGUACUGCUCCAUUUUGUUCUGUGUUUCAUUUAAAUACAUAAUGUGUUACUCAGUUAAACAGUAGUUUGUAAUGUUAUCCUUUUUUAAAACUAUUUCCAUGAAGCUUCAGCUAAUUAGGGCAGCCACAUAAUUGGGCCAAAAUUACUGGCCCCGAUGUGUCUCAAUUAAGUGGAAUCCAUUGUGUUGCACUUUCACUGGGAUUCUCAGAAUCAGUACACAUUCAGUAGCUAGUGGGUUAAUAACCAUAUUUACAAAGUGAUCACAACGGACUUCAGAACAACCCGAAGACUCUGGUUUCUGGUUAGUGAGUCAUCAGCUUUGUCUGUUAAGUGCUGAGGAGAGUUAUAUAGGUAGGGUCCCCGACUCUUUUGAGUAUCCCUGUUCUAGUGGCAACAGUUUCAAUUUCAUUAUUUUGGUGUAAGGUUGAUGGAGACAAGAUGGUA